GCAUACCAUGCAAGACCUCGCGCGAACGUAGCUACAACUUUACUGUAGAGUGCACCAGCGGCAUAAGUAUAAUAUCUGCUCGACGCGGCGUUCAUCAUUAGAAGAUUGUCCGCGUUUUCGUCACACCACAUUACUAGAGUACCAAAAACUAAUUGACAAUAAGUCGUCCGGUCGUUUUUAACGAUUUUGAGACGAACUGCACGAUAAAUUUGGAACGUAAAUUUGAUAAUUGUGUCGUAUAAGUGGACCGUGAGAAUGUACGGAGAAAGUAUAAAGCAAGUUGAAUUCGUUCAUCUGCCAGACAUUGUUUUGGAGAUGAUAUUAUCUAAUCUGACGUACGACGAGAUCGCCAGAAAUAGAAUAGUCUGCAGACGACUGAAUUACGUAUGUAAAAAAUUAUUGAACAAAGGCUUCUACUUAUUGGAAAAAACACUCGCGCGUCAAUUCAAUGUUUUAAAAAAUAAACUGCCUCGCAGAGAAUCCGAGAAAAAACAUCAUCCAUUAAUACAACAUUAUGACAUAUUGUCGAACAUGGAGACACGAAUAUCAUUAUUGUUUCUCACAUUUGCCAAAUACAUGGACGCCAAUUUAUGCUGUUUUAUUCCUGGGAAGAUACUUGAUGAAACAUUCCGAUUGUUGAAUCUAAUCAGAUCAUCUAAAAGAUUGCCGGUCAAAAAUCACGAAAUUCUUCGUGAAUUUCGAGAUUUGAGUAACAUGGCAAUGGAACAUUUUGACGAAAAAAUUUUACCAACCAUUGAGUAAAAUGCGUUCAAGUUUUUCGUUUCCAAUGAACAAUCACUUGAAAGUUCAAAUGUACUUGAGCAGUACUCCUCGUUCAAAGACAUAAAACCAGAAGAUCCAGCAAGCAAGGCUUGUCCCGAAAAUUUUAGUAAGCCACUGAAUAAAAUCUACAGCCGUCUGAAGAAAAACAGCCGAACAGUGUAUCGUAUUAAAAGCCAAGUUAACAAAAUGAAUCAAAAAAUGAAUGCGACAUUGGGCAAACAGUAUAUACAAAUCCAGCAACAGGAUUUGAAGAUUCAAGAGUACGCGAACAAGAUUAAAGAUCAAGAUGAACAACUGGCGGACAUGAAGGAACAGCUGGAAGACCUAAAUCAGAAAUUAAAAGAUUUGAUAAUUACGUCGAGCUCAACGAAAAUAGUACCAAAUCAUGAUACACGUUAAAUUACGAAAACUUUUUGUAACACAUUACCUAUACAGGUAUGUUCAAUUUUGCAUUGUGCAAGGACAACAUUGCGACGUUUCUACAACAAUUCAUUGCGCCAGGGGUAAACAAAAUUGACAAUUUAGAAAAAUAUAUAUGUAAAUUACUAUUGUAAUAGAUUGUUGAGCAUAUAUAAGUCAUAUUAUAAAUAAUAUUUUACGGAUGAUACGAUGUUUAUUUAUUAAAAUCUCAGCAUUAGCUCAGUUUGAUAUAUUAGGCAUUUAAUUUGAAAUCGAUUACAUCGUUUCGGCGACAUAAAAUUUGUAAACAGGAACGAAAAAGGACAGAGUCACAUAAAUACAAACACGAGUAGCACUAAACUUGUGUACAAUAUUGUUGCAUGUUCUUUGGAUUUAUGAAACCUCAAGUCUAUCAGAAUGAAUUUUCUCUUCAGAGAGCACAACGGUUGAAUGAUUACGGAUUGAUUGAAAAUUUAAUUAUUGUUAUUUAAUUAAUAGAUUUUGAAUUGUUAUCUGUCAGUAAAAUCAAACGGUGACUGUUAACGAUGUGUCAAAAGAGUAUAAAUGAUCUUCCAGAAAUUGCUUUAGAAAUGAUACUGUCGUGGUUGUCGUAUGACGAAAUAGCCAAGUGCAGAGCUGUGUGCAAAACCUUCGAUGAGAAAUGCAAACAAUUGUUGAAUAGGGCACCAAAUUUGGUAGAUCAACGGUGCAAUCAGUAUUUAUAUGUUAUCAAACCUCAAUUACCCCGUCGAGAAUCAGCAAAAAAUAGACAUCCACUUUUAGCCACUUAUUACGCUGUGGAUGCGAUAAGAAUAUCAACCAUCAAACUGUAUAUGAUGUAUGAAAAGUACAUUAAACAGAAUUCAUGCUGUUUUAUUCCUGGAAAGAUAAUUGACGAAUCAUUCGAAAUAAUUCGUGAUCUCAAAGAGAAAGAGAACUGUGGUGAUCCAUUGAAUUUUAAUGAUUUGCAAGCCGUUUUAGAAGAAUUUAAGGAUCUUAAAAUUAUGGCGACCGAGCAUUUCGAAGAGAGUAUUAAACCACGUUUAGAUCUUAACUAUAAAGAAGAUUAUCUACGUGAAGUUGUAUUAUCUCCAUGGAUGUGCCACGGUGAAUUUGGGCAUGAUGACGAUGAAACUUGGAGAGCCCCGAAAAGAGCUAAACCUAGUAGUCCCACUGGCGAGUUGACAGGUACAGAGUACUUCGCGAUUCUACAUGAUUUGUACUCAAAAAUUACUGAACACGAGUCAAAGUUGCAAGAAUACGUCAAUAAAAUCGUACAGCAAGAGUCGAAGAUCAGAGAGUACUCGAAGGAGAUACAGAAUCAAGAUUUAAAAAUAAAAAAUUACCUUAAGAAAAUAGCAAAUCAAGACACCAAAAUGGCAGAAUAUACAAAGCUAUUUGAAAAUCAACAAUCGAAAUUACAUGAUCAGGGCCAAAAAAUUUUGAGUAUAGAGUCACAAUUCACCAGAGUAUCAAAAUUGUUGGAAAAUUUGAAUCAAAAAUUAGUAAACAGUGGAGUGAUUAGGGAGUAAGAAGAAAGGUUAAAAAUUCAGAUGCUGUGAUGAUUAAACAUGACUGUAAAUAGCAAUAUUUUUUUUUAAUUUUCGCCAAAAGACGUAUAAUAGAAAUCGUUUUAAGACUAUGAGUCAAGCUCAUCUUGUUCUUUCUAAUUUGUAGUUAAAUUAUUAGUAAAAUUGAAAUAAUAUCAUUUCAUAUAAUUAUGCACCAAUCAUUUUUAAAAGAUUUCCGAAAAUUCUAUUAAAAUGAAUUUACACUAUGAAGUUUCAAAUGAUUUACAUCAACCCUUAUACAGAUACAAAUAUUUUUAUAAUAGAUAUCUGUUAAGAGUCACUCAAAGUAAAUUUUAAACUAAAACAAAUUUUUGAAGCUAUAUAAGUUUACUAUAAAAAAUGAAAUAAAAUUA